GGGAGCGGCUGUGAGGGACGGGAACGGCGGGAGCGGCUGUGAGGGAUGGGAAUGGAGAGAGCGGGUGUGAGGGAGUGGAAUGGCAGGAGCACGGUGAGGGCACGGCCGGAGUACGGUGUGAGCGUGGGGCUGGCAGGGGCUGCGUUGGCCUCGGCGGUGGUUGUUCGUGCCGGGGCUCAGGUGUGCGUGAGGGGUGUUAGGGCCCACAGUGCUCUCAGGUGUGUGCGGGGGUGUUUGGCCCACAGCGGGUUCAGGUGUGUGUGUGUGUGUGAGGGGCUUAUGGAGCCAUAGUGGUUUCAGGGGGGUGCGGGGCCAAGCGCUAAAGUAACCUCAGGUGUGUGCUGGGGAGGGCAGCGGCAUGUGGUGGUCUACAGUGGUCUCAGGUGUGGGGAACAGAUAUUGGGGCCCACAUAAGGCUCAGGUGUGUGUGUGAAGGGGUGUCAGGGACAUAAUUAAUUCAGUGUGUGUUUGUGUGCAUUGUCAGGGUGGGGGUCUCAGGUGUGGGGGGUGUUGGGGCCCACAAGCAGCUCUUGUGUGAGAGGACAGUGCAUGGGCCCACUAAAAAGGCAGCUGUCAAAGCCAUGCUGUAGGUUUUAGGGGGGCCUUGACAGCGUUUGUGUGUCCUGUGGCAUGUCCCAGCAGGAAGAGGCCCCUGGUACCCAAAAGGAGCAGCUGUGAUGUGGCAGUAAAGCCCCAAAGGAAAAGGAGCUAUAGCAAGGGCUGAGAGCUCUGGGUUAGGAAUUGCUCAGAGCAGAAGCAGGGUAAGGUGAGUUCGUGCUGUUUCUGCCACAUUUGGUGGCUCCCAACAGCCUCGGAACCUAAACACUUAUUAAUUGUAGAGACUUAUUUGAUGGGGGGGUUAAUUGCUUCGUUUUUCUAAAUAAAACUAAAGGAACAGAGCUUUAUCUGCCAGUACCUCGUGCAGCCUCAUUCUGCCAACUUGCGCCUGACAGCUGUGCCCCUUCUUGGGCUUCUAGAACCAUCCUCAGAGAGCUGUGUGAAACCACAGGUACAGAAACCUGAGAGCCCUGAGUCCCUGGUGAGGGGUGUUGGUGUGUCCUGUGCCUCAGAGGCCAAGAAGAGCAGAGUGAGCACGGCUCAUCUGUCAGCAGCUCUGUGAAAAGCUGAUGCUGAGCAAGCAGGAGGCAGAGAUCUCUCCCCAAAGUGAGCGUGUACAAAGCACUGAGUGAGCUGUGACGAGAACAGCUCCGAUGGAAGCAGGAGCCAAGAACAACAGCUCGACAGGGAACUUUACACUUUCCCUGACAGCUCCUUGGGGCGGAGACAGUUAAGUUUCUGCGUUUGUAAGGGAAACAUGGCAUUCCUUAAAGCUGAGCCUCCUCCCUCGGGUUCCCACUGAAUGCCUGAGAGAUGACAGCAGAGGGUGUCUCCAGCAGGCUCCUAUUAAACAGGAGGAAUUAGCACGGAGGGAGCAACAGCUUUGAGAUCCCAGUUUUGACCGCAGAAUGAGCUAAAAACGCUUUGCAUCAGCAGCAGUUUGCAGUUGUUUUACCCACUGGCUGCUGUUCAGGGGGUUCCUGUGCCCUGGUGUUGGUGCCUGCACCUGCCCGAUGCGUGAAGGGCUGUGCUGGAGGACAGGCCAGCUCCAAACAGAAAGUGCUGAGGCAGCAGUGAGGCCGGGCAGAUGAUCCUUGGGAGGGCAGCUGUGGUUCAGGCACACUUGGAACUGGUUUGGUGUCCCCAGCAGCACAAACCCGGCUGGCAGGGGAGCUGGUGAGCCGAGUAUGUGGACAGAUGGAACAGAUAGAGACAGGAAACGGGGGAGAAAGGGGAAAUACUCGUGUUUGUAAAGCUCCGAGGGGGCUCUGGUUAUUUCUCGAGUCCUGCAGUUCCGUUUCUAUUUGUAGCUCGGUGGCUGGAUGGCUUUGGGGAGUGAGCCGAGGGGCUCAAGCCAGGUGUGAGUGUGGGGAGAGGGCAAACCCGUGGGCACCAGGCGGCUCAUGCGAUGUGGCAGCCGCUACCACGCCCUUUCCUGUUCACCCCGGGGCCGCGGGCAGCCGUGCCAGCCACACUGCCUGAGUGGGGAGAAGGGAAAAGGAGGGCUUUCCACCGUGCUGAUAACCCACAGCAUUCCUUGGGAAAAGAGAGGUGGUGAGCAGCCCUGGUGGUGUCUCUCCCCCGGGACAAAAACGCUCCCAGAACUUCUGGGAGCUGCUUGGGGGGCGGUGCCGACUUACGGCCAUGCCUCAGCCUCGUCCCGUGUUAGAGGCAAUAUUGACUUAAGGAAACAGGCAUGGAGCAUACUUGGUAUGGGUGUUCCGAGUUAAAAAUUGCCAGUCUGCGCAAACAGACCUUUGGGGUGAUCGGCAGGAAAGCCGAGUGGCUGCGCUGCAUUAUUGCUGCCCCUCUGAGAACGCGGUGUGUCCUGGUGCCGCUGUGGGCGCUGAGCACCCGGCUCGGCGGGUUUGGAGAAGCGCUGCCGGUUUUGGAGCUCCGUGCUUCAGAUCAAACCCAUUUCCUUCCCCUCGGUGAGGUGUCUGUAGUGCCUCAGUGAGUCAAUAAGCUGUGCAUGUGAGGAAUGCUCCUCCCAGCUGAAGGUGAGCGAUUAGUGUGGCUGUGCUGGAGGUGAUGAGAUUAAUUAGUCGUUCCCAGGAGAAUAAGAGCUGCAGAAAUGAGAUAUAUGAAAUAUUUUGUCUGAAAUACCACUGUGAGGCAUUUUCAGAUGGGAGUGGGUUCCUGCAUAUCUCACCACAGGAUAUGUAUCUUGAUCCUUAAUUUUGUAGCAGUGCCUAGUCCGGAGAAUAACCAGUACCUGGCAGAUGUGAGGCACGUGUUGUACAAAAGCUGCUGUUCACUGGCACCUGAUUCACCUGGGUGAGAUCACUGUGCUCUCUGUGGUGGAGCGCUGCCGGAAGGAACAGGGAAGUCAUUUCUCUAUUAAAAUAUAAUAAAAUUCAAAAGAGUA